rnacentral:rRNA from 1 species
GAUGAACGCUGGCGGCGUGCCUAAUACAUGCAAGUCGAGCGAACAGACGAGGAGCUUGCUCCUCUGACGUUAGCGGCGGACGGGUGAGUAACACGUGGAUAACCUACCUAUAAGACUGGGAUAACUUCGGGAAACCGGAGCUAAUACCGGAUAAUAUAUUGAACCGCAUGGUUCAAUAGUGAAAGACGGUUUUGCUGUCACUUAUCGAUGGAUCCGCGCCGCAUUAGCUAGUUGGUAAGGUAACGGCUUACCAAGGCAACGAUGCGUAGCCGACCUGAGAGGGUGAUAGGCCACACUGGAACUGAGACACGGUCCAGACUCCUACGGGAGGCAGCAGUAGGGAAUCUUACGCAAUGGGCGAAAGCCUGACGGAGCAACGCCGCGUGAGUGAUGAAGGUCUUCGGAUCGUAAAACUCUGUUAUUAGGGAAGAACAAAUGUGUAAGGAACUAUGCACGUCGUGACGGUACCUAAUCAGAAAGCCACGGCUAACUACGUG